rnacentral:tRNA from 1 species
GCCAACGUAGCUCAGUUGGUAGAGCAACUGAUUCGUAAUCAGUAGGUCGUCAGUUCAACUCUGAUCGUUGGCU